rnacentral:rRNA from 1 species
UAACACAUGCAAGUUGAGCGAUUUACUUCGGUAAAGAGCGGCGGACGGGUGAGUAACGCGUGGGUAACCUACCCUGUACACACGGAUAACAUACUGAAAGGUAUGCUAAUACGGGAUAAUAUAUUUGGGAGGCAUCUCUUGAAUAUCAAAGGUGAGCCAGUACAGGAUGGACCCGCGUCUGAUUAGCUAGUUGGUAAGGUAACGGCUUACCAAGGCGACGAU